rnacentral:rRNA from 1 species
UACGGAGGAUGCAAGCGUUAUCCGGAUUUAUUGGGUUUAAAGGGUGCGCAGGCGGACUAAUAAGUCAGUGGUGAAAUUUACAUGCUCAACAUGUAGCGUGCCAUUGAUACUGUUGGACUAGUAUACAAAUGACGUAGCUGGAAUGUGUUAUGUAGCGGUGAAAUGCAUAGAUAUAACACAGAACACCGAUCGUGAAGACAGGUUACGAAUUUGUUAUAGACGCUCAUGCACGAAAGCGUGGGGAUCAAACAGGAUUAGAUACCCUGGUAGUCCACGCUGUAAACGAUGAUUACUCGUUGUUGGGCAUUAAUGCUCAGUGGCCAAGCGAAAGUGAUAAGUAAUCCACCUGGGGAGUACGAUCGCAAGGUUGAAACUCAAAGGAAUUGACGGGGGCCCGCACAAGCGGAGGAGCAUGUGGUUUAAUUCGAUGAUACGCGAGGAACCUUACCCGGGCUUGAACGUAAGACGAAUAUAUAGGAAACUAUAUAGCCUACGGGCGUCUUGCGAGGUGCUGCAUGGUUGUCGUCAGCUCGUGCCGUGAGGUGUUAGGUUAAGUCCUGCAACGAGCGCAACCCUUACAUUUAGUUGCCAUCAGGUUAAGCUGGGGACUCUAAAGGAACUGCCUACGCAAGUAGAGAGGAAGGUGGGGAUGACGUCAAAUCAGCACGGCCCUUAUGUUCGGGGCUACACACGUGCUACAAUGGUCGGUACAGAGGGCAGCUACUUGGCAACAAGAUGCCAAUCUCUAAAAACGAUCUCAGUUCGGAUCGGAGGCUGAAACUCGCCUUCGUGAAGUCGGAUUCGCUAGUAAUCGCACAUCAGCCAUGGUGCGGUGAAUACGUUCC